UCAUAGUGAGGUGUUUGGAAGCAAAAAUAAUGAAUAGGACAAUUUAUCCCAAAGGGAAAACUAAUGUUGCUAUAAAAGGACUCAUUUGACUCAUUGAAAUCCUCGGAUCAUGCUAGGAUAAACUUUUUCUUUGAAGCAGCUCUCUUGCUGGAACAUGCUCUCUCGCAGCUCUUCCAUUGAAAGCCCUGUGAAAUCUCAGUGAGUUAUUCUCGAUCUACUUUUUCUUCUUCGAUCCGCCUUCUUUUCUUCUUCUUCUUCUUCGAUGUACCUUCUUCUUCUUCUUCUUCUUUGUUUUUUAUGUGAUUUCUUUGCUAGAUGUGAUUUUUUUUAUGUGAUAUUUAUGUGAUUUCUUUGCUAGAUGUGAUUUUUUUUAUGUGAUUUCUUUGUUAAAUUCUAUUCAGCACAAACAUAAAAUGUAGAACUUUGAAAUCAAUAAAAUAGAUGGUGGGUAUUAUUAGAGAUAAGCAUCAAUCUGUUUCUCUUAGAUAAGGAUUGUUAGUUAUAUGAAUUGUUGGUUAUAUUGUUUUAUCUGAUCAUGCCAUUUCUAUCUCCUCAUGUUUAUCAAGAAUUAUAUCUUUUAUUCAAAUAUGUAUAUAUAAAGACAUCUACUAUAACUUAAAACAUAAAAAAAAAACAUAAUAUAUUACUUUUCUAGUUAAACUUAUUUUCCUAACUUGGUAUCAGAGCCAAGAAACAUUCAUUUCUUUUUUCGCUUUUAUUUAUUUAUUUUUUACAUCAUAAUGUUAGUAGUUGAUUAGGAACUCCCUUCACCAGCAAAGGAUAAUAAAUUUCUGUGGUCAUAUCUCAAUCACAGACGACUACUCCACUUAUUGGAAUGUUCACUCAACCAUUAUCCACUAAAUUAAACUCUACUAACUUUCUGCAAUGGGGUCAAUUGGCAUUAGCUACCAUCAAAGCUUAUGAAUGCAGACUAGAUCAAGUUGCUGUAGCAGUUAAUGAUUUCAUGAUAGUUCAUCUUUCUCAUGACAAGGAAUCUACUGCAAAGAAACACUUAUCAGGUAAUAAUGUCACUUAAUAUUCUCGAAAUAAUUAUAGUUCUCGAGAAUCUUUUCAAUGUAGCAGGCGACGUGGAUCCAAAGGAGGAAGCCGAGGACAAUCAAAUCGCAUGUUCUUUCAAAAUUUGUGGAAGAGGAGGUCAUAUUGCCUUGAAUUGUUACCAGCUAAAACAAUCUUUGAAUAAUCAUUCUUCUCAUUAUUCCAACUCAAAUGAUUCUCAAAUGAAUGCAAUGGCUGCACUAUCUGAUAGCUUAUUUGAUCCGAAUUGGUAUCCAAAUUCAGGAGCCACCUAUCAUUGCACAUUUGACCAACGAUUUUUCAAACAAGAGUGGGUAACGAGUGUAACACUUCUAGAAGGCAAGCUUAAAGGAGGUCUAUACUACUUUACAAUCAAUAAAGCUCCAUUGAUCGACCAUGGAACUACCAAAGAGUCUUUAAUUUCAAGAGCUACUUGGAUCAAUAAAUACUGUAACUCAUCUAGUUACAUGGGGUAUGCUUUUUCCAGUGUUCUAUUUGCUAGUAAGGCAUCAAAAAUUUCUUCUAUUUCAUUAUGGCAUAAACAUUUAGGACACCCUUCAUUGGUCAUUAUCAAGAAUGUAAUGAAAAAAUGUAAUUUUGGAACUCCAUGUAUUGAAAUUCCAGUCUCUUCAUAUUGUGCAUUGGGCAAAAGUAAAAAGCUUGCCUUCUCUAACUCUAGUACAUGUUAUACUGCACUAUUACAAUUCAUUAGUAUA